AAUCAACGCUGGCGGCGUGCCUCAGACAUGCAAGUCGAACGAUUAAAGCUCCCUUCGGGAGUGCAUAGAGUGGCGCACGGGUGAGUAACACGUAAGUAAUCUACCCUCGGAUGGGAAUAACAGUCGGAAACGACUGCUAAUACCGCAUAAUGCAGCGGCACCGCGAAGGUGACAGUUGUUAAAGGAGCAAUCCGUCUGGGGAGGAGCUUGCGGCAGAUUAGCUUGUUGGUAA
rnacentral:rRNA from 1 species